AAGGCAGCAUAAAGAGAUGCUCUGUUGUAUGUUGAAAGGAUUUGUAGGCUAAUUGUAAAAGUGGUAAACUACAGGAAGCAGUUGGCAGUGCGAUGGCUCAGGUGGCCUUUAUGUACAGGUGUGAGUGCCUUGGUACUAUGCUGUUCAUUCCAACACAGAGGUUGUAGCCUGCUUGGCCGUCCAGUCACAUACUGCACUCAAACCCUGAGCCAAAGGGAGCUUAAACCCAUGGCUGCUUGGGUCAGUCUCAUACUGCACUCAAACCCUGAGCCAAAGGGAGCUUAAACCCAUGGCUGCUUGGGUCAGUCACUGCUGCAUCCUUUAGGCAGUCAGGCAGUGAGGCCGACCCACUGCACAUGUUU
ensembl:lncRNA